rnacentral:tRNA from 1 species
GCCGAGAUACCCAAGCGGUCAAAGGGAGCGGUCUGUAAAACCGUUGGCUUAGGCCUUCGUGGGUUCGAAUCCCACUCUCGGCA